rnacentral:rRNA from 1 species
UACGAAGGGGGCUAGCGUUGCUCGGAAUCACUGGGCGUAAAGCGCACGUAGGCGGGUCUUUAAGUCAGGGGUGAAAUCCCGGAGCUCAACUCCGGAACUGCCUUUGAUACUGGAGAUCUUGAGUCCGGGAGAGGUGAGUGGAACUCCGAGUGUAGAGGUGAAAUUCGUAGAUAUUCGGAAGAACACCAGUGGCGAAGGCGGCUCACUGGCCCGGUACUGACGCUGAGGUGCGAAAGCGUGGGGAGCAAACGGG